UACGGGGGGGGGCAAGCGUUGUUCGGAAUUACUGGGCGUAAAGGGCUCGUAGGCGGCCAACUAAGUCAGACGUGAAAUCCCUAGGCUCAACCUAGGAACUGCGUCUGAUACUGGAUGGCUUGAAUCCGGGAGAGGGAUGCAGAAUUCCAGGUGUAGCGGUGAAAUGCGUAGAUAUCUGGAGGAAUACCGGUGGCGAAGGCGGCCGCCUGGACCUGACCUGACGCUGAGGCGCGAAGGCGUGGGGAGCGAACGGG
rnacentral:rRNA from 1 species